rnacentral:piRNA from 1 species
UAGGGUUAAAUCUAGGUCUAACCAGGCUGUGC